rnacentral:tRNA from 1 species
GCGAAAGUGGCGGAAUUGGUAGACGCGCUGGCUUUAGGUGCCAGUGGGGUUACCCCGUGAGAGUUCGAGUCUCUCCUUUCGCACCA